rnacentral:lncRNA from 1 species
CACUUUCUCAGACUUUCCUUGUUUUUGAUGACAUUGACAUUUUUGAGGAGUACUCGUCAGAAGUGACACAGAGAUGCUGAAAUUGCUCCCUUCUCACUCCACUGGACAGAAGUGGUCACAUGGCCCCACCUCACAACACAGCUGGGAGGACUGGUCUUCCCACAUGCCCAGGAAAGAGAGGCCCAGUGUGCACACAGCUGCCCUGAUGACCUGCUGGAGGGAUCUGGAAUGGGCCUGCUGCUUCAUCGACCUCUCAGCAAGAAGCCCCCUCACUGGGUGAACCACUGAGCACCUUCGCAUCCUUUAAGGCUCUGCUCAGCCACCCUGUUCUCUGAAAAUGCUCCCUGAGCCCCCUAGGCAGAGGGCCAUUUGCCAUUGUGGUCAUUCCACAGGUUGCUAUGAAGGCGUACUCAUCAAGGAAGAAAGGCAGAACAUGUUAUUUAGCAAUUCCUUCACCUGAUUCAGUAUUUCCAAGUAUUUGGACAUGUGGUUCAUGGGCUUCCAUUUGUACUCUUGUAAUCGCAGAACCAGCUCAACUACCCCCAUCUCUCAUCAACAGAGUGAUUAAGAAUUGUCUUUCAGAAAAUCUGCAAUGUCACAUAGCCAGGGCAUGCACAAAAGAAAAAAUCUUGACCUGAAAUGACCAUGGAACCAAAGAUCCUCCUCCCCAUGGAAUCCAAGGACCUGGAUAAGACUGGAACUUGAAAGUCCGACUCUUCUCAGAAGUGAGGGGUCCCUCAUUCAGGAAGAUUCUGCGUUAAAAUCCCUUUCAUACCUCAACAAAAAUGUUUAGAACCCCAUCAUAAAUGUUUAGAACCUUACCAUAAAUGUUUGAAGACCACCGUCAAAACCUGUCCCACCAGUGUUUCCACAUUCCAGCCUAUUCUCCCUAACAUCUUAAAUAUCA